CCUACGGGAGCAGCAGUGGGGAAUUUUGGACAAUGGGCGAAAGCCUGAUCCAGCAAUGCCGCGUGCAGGAUGAAGGCCUUCGGGUUGUAAACUGCUUUUGUACGGAACGAAACGGUUCGCCUUAAUACGGUGGGCUAAUGACGGUACCGUAAGAAUAAGCACCGGCUAACUACGUGCCAGCAGCCGCGGUAAUACGUAAGGUGCGAGCGUUAAUCGGAAUUACUGGGCGUAAAGCGUGCGCAGGCGGUUAUAUAAGACAGAUGUGAAAUCCCCGGGCUCAACCUGGGACCUGCAUUUGUGACUGUAUAGCUAGAGUACGGUAGAGGGGGAUGGAAUUCCGCGUGUAGCAGUGAAAUGCGUAGAUAUGCGGAGGAACACCGA
rnacentral:rRNA from 1 species